GCGGUGGAGCAUGUGGUUUAAUUCGAAGCAACGCGAAGAACCUUACCAGGUCUUGACAUCUAGUGCCAUCCUAAGAGAUUAGGAGUUCCCUUCGGGGACGCUAAGACAGGUGGUGCAUGGCUGUCGUCAGCUCGUGUCGUGAGAUGUUGGGUUAAGUCCCGCAACGAGCGCAACCCUUAUUAUUAGUUGCCAGCAUUAAGUUGGGCACUCUAAUGAGACUGGCGGUGACAAACCGGAGAAAGG
rnacentral:rRNA from 1 species